CUUCUCACAUACGCUAUUCUAUACUUUCUCUCAUUCUCUCCAAACCGUUCAAAGCAAUAUUCGAAACCCUAAUAUGCGAUUCCUACUCCUUACCCUUUCAAUCGAUCAUGUGCACAAACCCUAAUUUUGAUAUCUAUUUUUCUAGCCGUUUCACUCCGAAUCUCAACGAAGACAUCAAUCAUUCAUCAUCACAAACACUAAUCGCCUCAAAAAUCAUCGAGCAUGAGCAUAUUCUGGUGUAAGUUAUUGAUUAUUGGUAUGAAACAUUUCAUCAAUUUCAUCAUUCGUCCACCAGUUUUCAGCGUUUGUUCACCGUUCAAUGGACUUUUGUGUUGUAAGGGUUGAUUUGUGGUUUAUGUCAGACUAAUUUGAGGUUAUUUGGCAUCAAAGUUGAAGAUGGAUGGCUAAGCUUUUAAGCAGUUGUGUGGCGGGGGUAUGGAGUUGGUAUAAGGGCUCACUAGGUCGAACAGAGGUUGUGAUUCGGCAUUUGCCAGCUGCCACACAAAAUUUCUUAGUUGGCGCUCAUGGAGAAGAUCGACAAGAGUAGGUUAGUGUUUUACGUGCAUAAAAUCCGGUGUGUCUUAUACUGGUUCCGAAUUUACAGAGCCCAAACAUGGCUUCAUGGAAAAUGGCAACUCAAAAAACCAAAACCAUAAAACUUCAGCUACAUCUACACAUUCAUUAAAGAAGGAUGGAUUUCAAAUAUGGAGUUUGGGUCGAUUCUUUGACGGUGGUCAGGCAUCGUGACGACAAGCGAGCGGGCGAGAGAGUGGUGCGGUAAUUAUCGUUCUUGCCAUAAUUUUGUGACAU